GACCAGACUCCUACGGGAGGCAGCAGUGGGGAAUAUUGGACAAUGGGGGGAACCCUGAUCCAGCGACGCCGCGUGAGUGAAGAAGUAUUUCGGUAUGUAAAGCUCUAUCAGCAGGGAAGAAAGAAAUGACGGUACCUGACUAAGAAGCCCCGGCUAACUACGUGCCAGCAGCCGCGGUAAUACGUAGGGGGCAAGCGUUAUCCGGAUUUACUGGGUGUAAAGGGAGCGUAGACGGCGAUGCAAGUCUGAAGUGAAAGGCGGGGGCCCAACCCCCGGACUGCUUUGGAAACUGUAUGGCUGGAGUGCAGGAGAGGUAAGUGGAAUUCCUAGUGUAGCGGUGAAAUGCGUAGAUAUUAGGAGGAACACCAGUGGCGAAGGCGACUUUCUGGACUGAACCUGACGCUGGGGCGCGAAAGCAUGGGUAGCGAACGGGAUUAGAUCCCCUAGUA
rnacentral:rRNA from 1 species